UGUCGACUCUACAGGAUCAGUGAAGUGUUGUGGACUGUAAGCCUGUUGAACAGAAGCAGAGACGUGUGGACAGACACUGACUGUACUGACGAUCAUCUGCGGCUGCACAGGCUGUAAAGUAUAACCCCUGCUGGACACGGCUCCGGAAGCUCCAGGGGGAGACCGAACUGGUAUCCCCCCUUCUUCAGGCGCGCCUCACACUCACUCACCAUUCACACAUAUCGCAGAGUUCUGGCUGGGACCGAUACCAGCAACCCCGGAAGCCGUGGGGCAGCGCUCUUACCACAGAGCCACAGAUCUCCAUGUCUGAACACCUGCUGGAACUGAUGUUUGAGCUGUGUCUUGAUCUGAGCUGUGAUUGGACAAUAAACUAGUUAAAGUUUGCCUGCUCUG
rnacentral:lncRNA from 1 species